rnacentral:rRNA from 1 species
GAUGAACGCUGGCGGCGUGCCUAAUACAUGCAAGUCGAGCGAACAGACGAGGAGCUUGCUCCUCUGACGUUAGCGGCGGACGGGUGAGUAACACGUGGAUAACCUACCUAUAAGACUGGGAUAACUUCGGGAAACCGGAGCUAAUACCGGAUAAUAUAUUGAACCGCAUGGUUCAAUAGUGAAAGACGGUUUUGCUGUCACUUAUAGAUGGAUCCGCGCCGCAUUAGCUAGUUGGUAAGGUAACGGCUUACCAAGGCGACGAUGCGUAGCCGACCUGAGAGGGUGAUCGGCCACACUGAAACUGAGACACGGUCCAGACUCCUACGGGAGGCAGCAGUAGGGAAUCUUCCGCAAUGGGCGAAAGCCUGACGGAGCAACGCCGCGUGAGUGAUGAAGGUCUUCGGAUCGUAAAACUCUGUUAUUAGGGAAGAACAAAUGUGUAAGUAACUAUGCACGUCUUGACGGUACCUAAUCAGAAAGCCACGGCUAACUACG